UACAGAGGGGGCGAGCGUUGUUCGGAAUUACUGGGCGUAAAGGGCGCGUAGGCGGCCUUCUAAGUCGAACGUGAAAUCCCCGGGCUCAACCCGGGAACUGCGUCCGAUACUGGGAGGCUUGAAUCCGGGAGAGGGAUGUGGAAUUCCAGGUGUAGCGGUGAAAUGCGUAGAUAUCUGGAGGAACACCGAUGGCGAAGGCAAUCCCCUGGGCCUGCACUGACGCUCAUGCACGAAAGCGUGGGGAGCAAACAGG
rnacentral:rRNA from 1 species